AUGACCCAAAUAUUUCCACCAAGACAAUCUUGUUCAACAGGCCCCAAAUACAACUUCCCUUCCUUGGUUUCCUCAUAACCGUAAUCAGGCUGUAACUUCAAGGUGUGGCUUCAUGAAUGGGUGACUUUUCUAAAUCAGCAAUUUUGAAAAUGUGGCAUGGACUCUUGACUGCUCACAAUGCAAACAAUGAGAAAACUCAACUGAUCAUAACAAUCUGAAGGUUCAGCAUCCUAUCCAGUGGUCAUGGUGAUGUUGCCACAAUGGUGCCUAGUGCUGAUGGCCCCAUUAUCAAUAAUUGAAUGUGAAACUGAGCCAUGAAGAAAUUACAUUUCUUGAACAAGGUCACAUAGCUGCCUCUUGACCACUUGUACACUGAACUAUUGCAACAGGUUCCGAUUGAGACUACCAGCCAGAAGCCUGUUAGUGCCGUAAUGAAAGCAAUUUGUAUCAACUAAGUCACAAUGAAGAAACAAGAGGGAAAAGGUUAAUCCUGCCAAAUGGGUGUCUUAUUGGAUUAAAUGAAAACUGCAGCUCACUCUUUCCCCAGAA